UUGACUGUACAAAGGUAGCAUAAUCAUUAGUCUUUUAAUAGAGGGCUGGAAUGAAAGGUUUCACGAGGAAUUGACUGUCUCAUUUUAUUUGUUUUAAAAUUUAAUUUUUUAGUUAAAAAGCUAAAAUUUUAUUGGUAGACGAGAAGACCCUAUAGAGCUUUACAUAAAAUUUAAAUGAAUAUUUUUAUAUUAAUAUUUUUAUUUAUUUUUAUGUUUUGUUGGGGUGACAAAAAUAUAUAAUUAACUUUUUUAUUUAAUUUACAUUGAUUUAUGAAUAUUAGAUCCAUUUUUAUUGAUUACUAGAUUAAGUUACCUUAGGGAUAACAG
rnacentral:rRNA from 1 species